GUGAAAUGAAUUGCAAAAUAAAAAUUGUAAAAACUGAAAGCCUAGUGAAAUGGCGAAUAAAUUUUUUUUUAUUUUGGAAAAGGCUAUUUCAAUCUUUUGAUUAUUUUCGUAUCAUUAAUUAAUUUCUGCAUUUAGGUUAUUUUGUACUGCAUUUACAUUUAUUUGAUUUUUGUAUAUUCUCUUUUAUUUUUCUUUCCUCUUUCCUUUUAUAGAUGAUUUUUAGAGAUUGCUUAUCUUCAACCUCACUUCCUUCGUGGAUUUUCUAGGUUUCGACGACAAAUAGAUGCUCGGAGUUGAAAACGGAAAAAGAGCCUGUGGUCAUUCAUACAAAGGUGAGAAUGAAGAUUAUGUGGCUAGGUUUCAUUGGAGAUUAUAGCACUGGAGGAUCUCAACAUUGUUAUGGUAUGUUCCUUGUUCUUCCCUAACCCCCUUUAACGUUUAAUUCAACUUACGUAGUAUAAUGGGAUUGAUGCUUAAGGUCAUUUCCUUUGUCUUACCUCUUCCUGGGUAUAUCUUUAUAUUUUAAUGUUUCAGUUUUGGUGAAUUGUUGUGUGUCUGUUUCUUUUAUGUAGCCUACAUGUGGCCAUGAUUGUUUUCUACGGGCCAAAGUCAUGACCUCAAUAAUGUAAAUAGAAGAUAAAGACUACAGAUCUAAUUGGUCAGUUAAA